GGGGCUGAAAUGGUAUUGACAGCAAGUGAAUGGAAUUGUAAGCAUGCCGAGCCAUGAGAAUACGCUCGUAAAAAAGGUUCUUGAGCCAAUAACUGGCAACGAAAAUUUCGCUCUCGCCGCAUAAUAAAACGCGGAUUUUCCAAUCCUCAAGGAGGAUAUGGACGAGCACUUCGCGGAAGCCCCUUCCCUGUGGCGUCCGGCUACGAAGUGUCGUGUAACGGGGAUAGCCUUAAUAAGUCUUCGGUAUUAGGGCGAAGCUAAGAAGAUAAGGAGUAAGUAGGUUGCUUUAGGCCAGCUUAUUCCCGACAAAUAAUCAAAAGCUAAGCAUGUAGAAAGCAGUUUGGUUCCUUGUUUGGACCCGGGUUCGACUCCCGGCAGCUCCACUC
rnacentral:tmRNA from 1 species